CUCCUGUGUCAGUUUGUAAAUCACAUGGAGGUUAUACGCUUACCUGUUUACUAUCCAUCACAACAAGAGAAGGAUGACCCAAAGCUCUAUGCCAGUAAUGUCCGAAGAUUGAUGGCUACCGAGGGUAAUUUGACAAUGUCAGAUAUUGGACUUGCUGAGAAGAGAAUUUAUCAUGCUGCUCUCAAUGGUUUGUUAAGCCAAAGCUAAUUCGGAAUCGUCAUCUGUAUAUUCAUUGUAUGAUUCUUUUAUUUGUGGAAAAUAUUUACAAAAGGUGGGUAGAAAAUCAGGGGCAGAAAAUGUUCUUUUAUUGUUGUCAUUUGACGAUGUAUUGUCUUGAGUGGCUGUGGAGUGAACUUUGUGUUUGAAGUAGGCCUCUAUCCUUAGAUAUCCUUCUUUUUACAUCAAAUGUGGGGGCUUAGAAGUUACUGGUUCUGCAUGGUUUUGACAGUCAGUCUCUAACCUCUGUACUUAGCUUCAACUGAGCAUCAAAAUAAUUCAUGCAUUCUUAUUAAGUCUGAGGAAUUAUUUUCUGCCGGUAGAUUCA